UCCCACCAAUGAUAUUGGCCCUAAAAAGGACAUACUAAAAAAAAAGUUUGAACCUGGAGAUGUUGUGGAUGUGAUUUAUGAAGAGGAAAGUUCCCCAGCCACAGUUAUAGAUAUUGAUGAGAGCAAAGAAACCCUCAGGAGGAGGAUGUUCAGGCUAGAGGGGAAAAGAAAAAGUCAGCCAUGUUUGCAAAAUGAUGCAAAAAGAGUGGCAAAGAAAAAAAAAACUUACACUCCAACUCAGUCCCCUUCUCACUCAUCAUCUGAUCAAGAGCCUCUGGUCAAACAUCAAGUCAUCCGCAGAAAGGAUAGUAUUUUAAUGCAGGAAAUAAACAACAUGGACCGUGAAGCUGGAGAGCCUUCAAGCCGAGAAACUCGACUUGAGAAAGAAAUUCUCAAAUUAAAAAAAGAAAAUGAAAAUCUAAGAGCACUUAAUAUAUCUCUGCAACAAGAAAUUCUUCCAAUGCUCAAGUGCAUGAAACAGGACACUCUUA